CCCAUUCAAACUUUUAGCUAUGUUAGCGUGGUCAGUGUUCUUCCUCUGGCGCCAAGGAUGGCUAGGAAAUACCAAUGGAACACCUGAACUGGGACAAUCCACCCACCAGGUUUUGGUUGGUAUAUGUCAGAUUCGUUAACUGACUCCAUGGUAACUUCUGGUAGGUAUCUUCUCAACAUGGUUAUGAGAGAGAUUCAACUUACUAGAAAAACAGAACACGAUAUUAGAGAGCCAAACAGUCAGAAAAGUUAAUGACAUAUAGCAAAAGCUAAAACACGAAAUGUAAAUCAGCAAACUCAUAGAGAAAGGAUAAACAGAAUCUUUGCUGUGCACCUUAGUGACUGGGUGAGGAGGGGGAAUAAUCCUCACUUUGUUGAUGUUCUGGUUGUUUUUGCUGCCUUUACUGCUUCAUUUUUCCUCUCUGCCUGCUGGGGAAUUUCAUCAACUUUUUUUUUUAUUAAAAAAAGCUACCCAUUAUAAGACUUCACACAUUCUUGUGGUGCAAUGCUACACUUCUGGAAACUUCCAUGUGUUGGUUGGUACUCUUUUAUCUUUUUCCACUUCCAUACUCUUCUUGUACAUCCUCUCAUGUAUCUUCUUCCAUGGUUCUGCUAUCUUCUUGUUAUUCUCCUUUGCCCUCUUAUUCCUGCUUAUUAAUUGUUGGCUGAUUCCCUGAAUAGAUGCCUAUCUUGUUGUCCCUUUUUUCCUUCUCCCCCUACUUCAUGUUCGGUUCUUAUGCUUGCUCGAGACAACAACCUGCUUCCUCCUAAUUGGUCACUUCAAGCAUCGAUAGUUACCAUUGACUGUUAACCUUCUUCCAAUGCAAAUAUAUCUGACUCAUUAGUUCUAUCUAUGAUGUGUUGUCAAUUGAUGUUGAUGAGAUGGUUUAGUAAACAUAAAGGGGGAUGGAGUCCCUGUUGGAGGUGUUUGUGUUGAAAGGCCUCUAGUAUCAUUCCCUCGCGCUAUAAUCCCUCUCCCUGUUCCUUAAUCUAGGAAGCUCGAUAAACCUUGGGAUUAACUCCAGUCAAAUACUUGAUUCCUGUUCUUUCCUUGGAGCAGUUCGAUCAAGUGGAAUCAAAUCCUACAGGCUCAUAUGCUAACACUGCCACUCAGUUACUCUAUAAGAUUUCUAUAAGCAUGAAGAGAAUUUUGUGUCAAAUGCUGUAUCUCAUGACGAUGUAAAGAAAGUUAAAUGGUAAGCUUAUUUUGAAAAGGAUUUUGGAAUCGUGCUUUGAUCCCAAAAGGUGCUGCCUUCCUCUAUUAGGGUUAAAGCUUUAUUAGCACAAAUUGGGACUUCUGUUAGGGUUUGUUCCGGUGCCAAUUAAUUCGUAAUUGUGGCCUAUUGUAACCUAACUACACGCUCAUUCAGAGUUCCAAACAAGUUUUACUUUAUCAAAUCCAAGGAUCGAUUCUUGAAUUGCAACACCUACGCUAUUAUAUGUCAUACUAGUGAACUACUUUGAUGGAACCUAAACAAAUACAGUAAGUCAUCUAUAAUCAUCUAUAAGAUACUGAAAACAGAAACCCAACCUAAAAUAACUAACAAGGUCUCUUCUCAAAGUUGAGUGAUCCAUAGUUACCUCCAUGUUUCCACUACUAACCUGAAAAAUCCAUGAGCUGUGUAGAGAAUUCCCUUAAAGCCUCCACUACACUCUGGUUCCUGUAUUGUCUGCAUUACAAAAUAGCAGGUUUGAACCUGUUUCAGGAAGUUUUUCCUACCCUCCUUCCCAAUAGUAAGCAUAGUC
rnacentral:lncRNA from 1 species